rnacentral:lncRNA from 1 species
AAAAUACAGAUUCUCGGAUGCAAAUUUGGAUGCGGAUAUGUAUCGAAUAAUAAAUUUUGUUAUCAUGUUCACUAAUUAAAAGGAAUCGGAUUCAGAUAUGAGCCGAAUUUAUAUUUGGAUACUAUUCAGAUAAUAAUAUCUAGUAAUGAGUUCGCCUUGUGUGCUUUUAGAAGCAUGGGGCCUUCGUGCUAUCAAAUCCUUUUUGAUACUAAAACUUUUGAAUCGACGAUCUACUCUAUUAGACUUAAUUUAGAUAAUCGGAAGUAUCUAGAAAAUAAAUUUUAUGAUUUUUUGAUAUCAUUUAACUAGUGAUCGAAAUGACUCAAAAUUAACGAUUAAAAAUAAAAAUCUCACGAAAAAUAAUAUGACACUAAAAUUUUAGAUAAAAAAUAUUGUUAUUUUAUGUAGUAUAAAGAGUAUUAUAUCAAAAUUUCACGUGCUUUGGAUAUUAUUAUAAUAAAGCUUGCAAACGACUUACCAUGACCAUUAGAAUUGUUGAUUUUGGGCCCUCAAUCUCUAGAAGAAUAAUAUAAAACAAUUAUAAAAUUUAUUUUUUAGAUAUUUUAAAUACUCUAAAUCAAAUUUAAUAAAGUAGAUCGUUGGUUUCGAAAGUCCUAACAUUAACAAUGACUUGAUAACAUGGAGGCCAUUGUACUUCUAAAAGAACGCAAGCCGAGCUCUGUAGUAACAUGCAUAUGUAAAUAUUAACUAGAAUUAGAGUGAAUAAAACACAGUACGAUUAAAGUUUCACACUCGUAUUCAAAUUUUGUAUAAAAUUAAAUCUUUUAAUAAACAUAAAUAAAAUUUAACAUAAAAUUCAUAAUAAAAUAAAUGAAGAAUACAAUAGAACAUCAAUUUGUCUUCCUACUAUAUUUAUUAACAUUUCUUUUAUUCCAUAGGAGUGCAAACUAUCUAAUACCGCCGGAUUUUUUAAGAAACCAUUUUAGCUCCAUUUUUGUAUUAUUUUAGAUGUGAAUUCAGAUAUAAAUAUGUGUUGAAUGCUAAAUUUUGAUAUCUAUAUUCGCAUCCUAUCGAAUUCGGUAUUGGAUUCAACAGGAGUUUAUCCUAACCACAUAUUUUUUCUACUCUUUUGCAUGCAUAUGUGUCAUGCCCCGGGUCCCUUUUUUUGGCUAAAAAGAAUAGCGGAAGUGUCUAAUUUUUUUUGAAACCUUGACCCCAGGGGAUGACAAACCAGCCACAAGUACAGAGAAUCCACUGUUCACGCGAACAGAGUCUCUCCUAUAUUUGCACGGCGUCACACAAGUACAAGUUAUAACCACAAGUGAUUCACCAACCAUGAAUACAUUCACCAAGCAUGAAUACAUUCACCACAUCACAUAAUUACGAAUUACUUUCAUAAAUCCACAUCUAUCAUUCAAAAACGUUUCCCACCUGAAAACUCAUUUUGAAAUACUAAAAUUACAAAAGCAAAAAUCCUUUUAAAAACUGUUUCUCACACAUAAACCUUUGCUUUUAAAAGCAAGCUACCACGAGGGGUAGAAAACCAUUUUUUGCAAAUCUAUAUUAAAACCACAACUUUGUUCAUAGUCAAA